rnacentral:rRNA from 1 species
CGCGUAGGCGGCUUGCCAAGUCAGUGGUGAAAUCCCGCAGCUUAACUGCGGAAGUGCCUUUGAUACUGGCGAGCUCGAGGGAGGUAGGGGUAUGCGGAACUUCUGGUGGAGCGGUGAAAUGCGUUGAUAUCAGAAGGAACGCCGGUGGCGAAAGCGGCGUACUGGACCUCUUCUGACGCUGAGGCGCGAAAGCUAGGGGAGCAAACGGGAUUAGAUACCCCGGUAGUCCUAGCCCUAAACGUUGGGUACUAGGUUGUGGACUAACAUGGGUUCACAGCCGAAGCAAAAGUGUUAAGUACCCCGCCUGGGGAGUAUGGUCGCAAGGCUGAA